UACGGGGGGGAGCAAGCGUUGUUCGGAUUUACUGGGCGUAAAGGGCGCGUAGGCGGUCGUGACAAGUCACUUGUGAAAUCUCCGGGCUUAACUCGGAACGGUCAAGUGAUACUGUCGGGCUAGAGUCCGGAAGAGGCGAGUGGAAUUCCUGGUGUAGCGGUGGAAUGCGCAGAUAUCAGGAGGAACACCGAUGGCGAAGGCAGCUCGCUGGGACGGUACUGACGCUGAGGCGCGAAAGCGUGGGGAGCGAACAGG
rnacentral:rRNA from 1 species